rnacentral:rRNA from 4 species
AAAGAAACCAACCGGGAUUGCCUCAGUAACGGCGAGUGAAGCGGCAAGAGCUCAAAUUUGAAAGCUGGCUCCUUCGGGGUCCGCAUUGUAAUUUGCAGAGGAUGCUUCGGGUGCGGCCCCUGUCUAAGUACCCUGGAACGGGUCGUCAGAGAGGGUGAGAAUCCCGUCUGGGAUAGGGUGUCCGCGCCCGUGUGAAGCUCCUUCGACGAGUCGAGUUGUUUGGGAAUGCAGCUCUAAAUGGGUGGUAAAUUUCAUCUAAAGCUAAAUACUGGCCGGAGACCGAUAGCGCACAAGUAGAGUGAUCGAAAGAUGAAAAGCACUUUGAAAAGAGAGUUAAAAAGCACGUGAAAUUGUUGAAAGGGAAGCGCUUGCGACCAGACUCGCCCCCGGGGUUCAGCCGGCAUUCGUGCCGGUGUACUUCCCCGGGGGCGGGCCAGCGUCGGUUUGGGCGGCCGGUCAAAGGCCCCUGGAAUGUAGUACCCUCCGGGGUACCUUAUAGCCAGGGGUGCAAUGCGGCCAGCCUGGACCGAGGAACGCGCUUCGGCACGGACGCUGGCAUAAUGGUCGCAAACGAC